ACCCUCUGCUUUUUAUUCUAACACAGGAAGCAACAGAAGCAUCAUCGUCAUCCUCAGCAAGAAGAGAUUAAAGAGUCAAACACCUCAACCCUUGUUCAGUUCCUUCCCAAUUUUCUCUCUCUACAACUUUCUCUCUCUAAAAUCCAUCUCUUUCCUCGUGGAAUCGCAAACUUUCAGAGCCGCGCCUCUUUGCAAUCCCAAAUCUUUUUCAUUAAUUUAUUACGGUUUUGUCCCCAAGUCUUCGCCUUUUUUUUAAUUUUUUUUUUAUACCCAUUGCCAUAAAAAACCCUAGCCUCACUCGCUGCCCGAAACCCCAACUCGCGAAGUUCCUCUCCCGUCUGGAAAUUGGUUCUGAAAGACUGUCAUGUUUACCAGCAAAGAGUUUUGCCUUGAAGGAAUGCCAACCUGCGUUAUGUAGCUUAUGACUGAAGAUAUUUGCAUACAUUAUUCAUGAGCGUGACAGCUUCUUGUAGCAGUUCGAUGCUGGGGGCAGUAUGCCGAUGAUAGUUGGGAGAAAUGAGCAGGUAUCAUGCCACUGGCUGCACUAGUGCAGUUAACAACACAGCCAUAGGUGGGACAUCGGGGAGGGAUUCUACCCGAGCUGAAUCGGCUGCAUCUCCGAACUUGCCUCUAGCUUCUAGGCGCUCUUCACAGUUAAACCCUUACAAGUUGAAGUGUGAUAAAGACGAUUUGAAUUCCCGACUUGGGCCACCUGACUUUCACCCCCAAAAACCAAAUUGCCCAGAGGAAACUCUUACCGAAGAAUAUGUGCAAGCUGGAUACAGAGAGACUGUUGAAGGAAUUGAGGAAUCAAGAGAGGUUUCUCUAAGUCAGGCUCCAACUUUUGGCAAGCCCCUUGUCUUCAGGUGCAAAGAGGCCAUCAAAAUACGUUUUAGGGCAAUUAAUGAAUCUCGUGCUCAAAAGAGAAAGGCUGGUCAAGUGUACGGUGUUCCUCUUGUUGAUUCACUGUUGUCAAAGCCAGGUGUUUUUCCUGAACAAAAGCCCUGUGGUGAAGGGUUGCGAAAAAAAUGGAUUGAGGGUCUAUCACAACAACACAAGCGCUUGCGUUCAUUGGCUGAUCAUGUCCCUCAUGGAUAUAGGAAAAGAUAUUUAUUUGAAGUUCUUACAAGGAAUAAUGUUCCAUUGCUGAGAGCAACUUGGUUUAUUAAAGUAACUUAUCUUAAUCAGGUCAGGCCAGGUUCUACCAAUAUAUCUUCUGGGACAUCUGAUAAAGCUCAGUUGUCCCGCACAGAGCUGUGGACAAAAGAUAUUAUUGAUUACCUGCAGUACCUUCUCGAUGAGUUAUUCUCAAGAAAUAGUUCUCACUCCACUUCACUCAACAGAGAUAGAUCGCCACAAAUUCUCUAUGCUGGGUCACUGCCACAAAGGGGUGAUCCAGCAUCAGCAGUCCUUGAUGGUGAGGAGCCUUCUAUACAUUUCAAAUGGUGGUAUGUGGUGCGGCUUCUGCAAUGGCAUCAUGCUGAGGGACUGCUUCUUCCUACACUCAUCAUUGAGUGGGUUCUAAGUCAACUACAGGAGAAAGAAUUGCUUGAGAUUAUGCAGUUGCUUUUGCCUAUUAUAUACGGUGUUCUGGAAACUAUUGUUUUAUCUCAAACAUAUGUGCGCAAUCUUGUGAGAGUAGCUGUACGUUUCAUCGGCGAACCUGCUCAAGGUGGAUCAGAUCUUGUAGAUAACUCCCAUAGGGGGUAUACAGUGUCUUCUUUGGUUGAGAUGCUUCGCUAUUUAAUAAUUGCUGUGCCUGAUACCUUUGUAGCUUUUGAUUGCUUUCCUCUACCAUCCUCUGUAGUCUCCUAUGUUGCAAAUGAUGGAUUACCAAAGAUGUCUGAUGCGAGAAAGAUUAAAAAUGUUUCAGCAGAAGUUGCUUCUGCAUUCAGAAGUAAAGUUUUUGAUACUCAAUAUCAGUCCCUGGCUUUUGAUCAUAUUGUUUCAUCCAUUCAGAAACAUGCUGAAAAUCUUGCUAAGGCUGCAAGACCUAGCUAUCCAGGCCAUAGUAUAGCUAAAGCUGUACAGGCCCUAGAUGGAUCUCUUGUGCAGGGAGAUGUUCGAGCGGCUUAUAGAUUUCUGUUUGAAGAUCCUUGUGAUGGAGUUGCAAAUGAAAGUUGGAUUGCAGGAGUUAGUCCAUGUUUGCGAACUUCGUUGAAGUGGAUUGGGACUGCAAACUUGUCAUGUGUUUGCUCUGUAUUUUUCCUCUGUGAGUGGGCAACAUGUGAUUUCAGGGAUUUUAGGACUGCCCCACCUUGUGAGCUGAAAUUUACUGGCAGAAAGGAUUUCUCCCAGGUAUUUGUUGUUACUCGGCUUUUGAAGCUAAAGAUGAGAGAUUUGCAACUUUCACCUCAACGUAAGAAUGAUAGCAUCCCUGGAGUCAGUAGUGUUGCAAAAGGUUCUACCCAGCAGAACAAUUUUCCUGUCACAGUUUCCAUGGGAAAUUCCUGUGAAAUUAAACCAAAAAAUGUUGAUCAAAGAAGUAUGAAAUCAUCAAAUAUAUUUGAGAGCCCUGGUCCUUUACAUGAUAUCAUAGUGUGUUGGAUUGAUCAACAUGAAGCAGGCAAAGGAGAAGGUUUCAAGCGCCUUCAACUACUUGUAAUCGAACUUAUCCGGUCUGGUAUUUUUAAUCCUCAUGCCUAUGUUAGGCAACUGAUAGUUAGUGGAAUUAUGGAUACCAAUGGAACGGGGGUUGAAGUCGACCGUUGGAAUAGGCAUUUUCGUAUCUUGAAGCUGUUGCCUGCGCACUUUAUGCACGAUGCUUUGGAAGAAGCAGGGAUUGCUGAAGGGCCACAACUUUCAGAGGCCAUGAACUUCUACUCAACUGAGCGCCGCCUAAUACUUCGUGGGCUUCUCUCCAAUCAAAAUAAAAAUGUGAAUAUGAAUAUGUCUGUUCUGAAGCAAAAGCAUUAUUCCAUUCCUGGAAAAGAUGGUGGUUUGCCAGUUUCUGUGGAUCGGUGGAAGGCUGUUCAGCCAUCACCCAAUGUAUUGUCUGGUAAAAGUAGUAAGACUGAUGUUGAUGUCGAAGAACUAAAGGAAGCAAUAUCAGUUCUGUUGCAUCUCCCAAGUAGUUCAUCCCCAACGACAGAAACAGGGUUUGAUGAAUCCCAAGGAAGUGUUAAGAGGCCGUUUGGGUCAACCUUUAACAAGAUGGAUCUGGGAGAAGGCACCCCUGGGUGUGAAGAAUGCAGAAGAGCAAAGAGGCAAAAAGUGAGUGACGAAAGGAGCUCAUGCAUCCAAGGAAAUUCUCCAAUUCCUUCAGAUGAUGAAGAUGCCUGGUGGAUGAGGAAGAGACCUAAGUCCUUGGAGCCAUUGAAGGUUGAUCCACCCGUUAAAUCGACCAAACAGGUCUCUAGGAACCGGCAGAAGAUAGUUCGUAAAACUCAAAGCCUUGCUCAACUUGCAGCUGCUAGGAUUGAAGGUAGCCAGGGAGCAUCUACGAGUCAUGUCUGCAAUAAUAAAGUAAGCUGUCCUCACCAUAAAGGUGGAGUUGAGGGGGAAACCCCGAAGUUUGUAGAUCCAACCAAAAUGAACCAUGGUGGGGAUAUUGUUUCAAUUGGAAAAGCUUUAAAGCGGCUGCGAUUUGUAGAGAAGAGGACAAUUACGGUUUGGUUGAUGACUGUUAUUAGGCAGCUUGUUGAAGAGACUGAAAAGACCAUUGCGAAGGUUGGCCAAUUUGGUAGGAAUUUCACAUCUGUUGAUGAUAGGAGCUCCAUACGGUGGAAGCUUGGUGAAGAUGAACUUUCUGCUGCACUGUAUUUGAUGGAUGUUUCAAAUGAUUUAGUUUCAGCAGUCAAGUUUCUGCUUUGGUUGCUGCCAAAGGUUAAUGGCCCCAGUUCUACAAUCCAUAGUGGGAGGAACAUUAUGCUGUUGCCAAGAAAUGCUGAAAGUCAAGUGUGUGAAGUGGGGGAGGCAUUUCUGGUAUCAUCACUCCGAAGGUAUGAGAACAUACUUAUUGCUACAGAUCUUAUUCCAGAAGUCUUGUCAGUUACAAUGCACCGUGCUUCAGCCAUAGUGGCACCUAAUGGAAGAGUUUCAGGUUCAGCUGCCUUAGCAUACAGUCGGUAUUUAUUGAAGCGAUACAGCAAUGUAGCUAGUGUCAUUGAAUGGGAAAAGAAUUUCAAGCCAACAUGUGAUAAGAGACUUCUUUCUGAACUUGAGUCUGGACAGUCAGUGGAUGGAGAGUUGGGGUUUCCGCUUGGUGUUCCAGCAGGAGUCGAAGAUCUUGAUGAUUUUUUCCGCCAAAAGAUUAGCGGUGUUCGGUUAUCCAGGGUGGGUUUAAACAUGAAAGAAAUAGUGCAACGAAAUGUGAAUGUUGAUGAUGCCCUUCAGUAUUUUUUUGGGAAAGAGAGAAAGCUCUUUGCUACUGGUGCUCCUAAAGGCCCUCCUGUUGAUAAAUGGGAUGACGGAUGUCAGAUAUCUCAAAAAGUAAUUACAGAACUGAUGGACUGCAUUAGGCAGACUGGUGGUGCUGCUCAAGAAGGGGAUCCAUCUUUGGUGUCUUCUGCCGUUUCUGCUAUUGUCGGCAAUGUAGGGCUAAUUAUAGCAAAGAUUCCAGAUUUUAGAAUGGGGGGUAGCUAUUCAACCUUUCCAUCUGCCACUGAUUCCUUGAACUUCGCUAGGCGUAUUUUGCGUAUCCAUAUAAGUUGCCUAUGCCUCCUUAAGGAAGCUCUUGGAGAGCGCCAAACCCGUGUAUUUGAGGUAGCUCUUGCGACAGAAGCUUGUUCUGCUCUUGCUCCUGGAAAGGCGUCUCGAAAUCAAUAUCAAUCCUCUCCUGAAUCCCAUGAUUCCAACACUAACAUGUCUAAUGACAUUUUGAACAGUAAAGUAGUUAUUGGGAGGACAACAAAAGUUGCAGCUGCUGUUUCUGCACUAAUCAUUGGGGCGGUUGUUCAAGGGGUUACUAGCUUGGAGAGAUUGGUGACUCUAUUCAGGUUAAAGGAAAGGUUGGACGUAAUUCAAUUUGUAAGGAGUAGUAGAUCCAACUCUAAUGGCAAUGCUCGUUCUGCUGGGGCAUUUAAGGGUGAUAACUUGCUUGAAGUUUAUGUGCAUUGGUUUAGACUUCUUGUUGGAAACUGCAGAACAGUCUCUGAUGGAUUGGUCGUGGAACUCUUGGGUGAACCCUCUGUAGUAGCUCUUUCAAGGAUGCAACGUAUGCUCCCUCUUGGUUUGGUUUUUCCACCUGCCUAUUCUAUAUUUGCUUUUGUUAUGUGGCGGCCAUACCUUCUUAGCACUAGCUUUGCAGCGCGUGAUGAUUUUAACCAAUCAUAUCAAUCUUUAACAACAGCUAUAGGUGAUGCUAUAAAGCACUCUCCUUUUCGAGAUGUGUGUUUGAGAGAUAGUCAGGGUUUCUAUGAUAUUGUAGCUGCAGAUGGCAGUGAUGCUGAAUUUGCAGCCAUGCUAGAGUUAAAUGGUUCAGACAUGCAUAAAAAAUCCAUGGCUUUUGUUCCAUUACGUGCAAGGCUUUUCCUAAAUGCCAUAAUGGAUUGUAAGAUGCCACACUCUUCAUUUACACAGGGUGAAGCAAAUCAGGUCUCUGGACAUGGUGAGUCUAAAGUUAAAUUUGCAGAGCGUGAAACAAAGCUUGUAGAUAAGCUUGUACAUAUUCUAGAUACCCUGCAACCUGCAAAAUUUCAUUGGCAGUGGGUAGAGCUUAGGCUCCUUUUGAAUGAACAGGCCCUUAUUGAUAAACUUGAGACUCAAGAUGCGUCUUUAGUGGAUGCCAUUCGGUCGUCCUCGCCUAGUCCUGAAAGGGCUGCUGCCUCCGAGAAUGAGAAACAUUUCAUCGAGAUCAUCCUUACAAGGUUAUUAGUUAGACCUGAUGCUGCACCCCUUUUCUCGGAUGUGGUUCAUCUUUUUGGGAGGUCACUAGCAGAUUCUAUGUUGUUGCAGGUCAAAUGGUUCCUGGGUGGCACAGAUGUUCUUUAUGGACGAAAAACAAUUAGACAACGACUUCUUAAUAUUGCUGAGAGUAAAGGUCUCUCAACUAAGACCCAAUUUUGGAAGCCGUGGGGAUGGUGUAUUUAUGAUGUUGAUCCUGUAACAAACAGGGGAGAUAAGAGAAAAUUUGAAGUCACUUCCCUUGAAGAGGGUGAGAUGGUUGAAGAGGGAACAGACUCAAAAAAGUAUGGGAAAGGGGCCAGUCAAACGUUGGACAUUGAAAGCUACAAUGUCACUCAGCAUUAUGUGACAGAGAGGGCUCUCAUUGAAUUACUUCUUCCAUGUAUAGAUCAAAGUUCUGAUGAGUCGCGCAAUACCUUUGCAAAUGAUUUGAUCAAGCAGUUGAUUAGUAUUGAGCAACAAAUUAGUGCAGGUACUCGUGGGACACAUAAGCAAGCAGGACCAACUCCUUCUGGAGUUGAAGGUCCCACUGGCAAAGGAAAUAGCCGCAAAGGUAUAAGGGGUGGCAGUCCUGGAUUAGCUAGGCGUGCAGCAGGAGCAGCUGAUUAUGCUCCACCGUCCCCUGCAGCUUUGCGAGCUUCUAUGUCGCUGCGGUUGCAUUUGCUCUUAAGAUUGCUUCCUAUCAUAUGGGCAGACAGGGAGCCAUCUGCCCGGAACAUGAGGCAUGGAUUUGCCUCUGUAGUACUACGUCUUCUAGGAAACCGAGUUGUGCAUGAGGGUGCAGACCUAUGCUUCAAUAUCAUGCAGAGUACUUUCUCUAAGAGGGAUGCAGAGUCUUCAAGAGAAGCUGCCUCUGCAGCUUUUGCAGAAUUGUCAAAUGAAAGUCUCUUUAAUCAGUUAUUGUUCGUUCUUCAUGGGCUGUUAAGCAGUUACCGGCCAAGGUGGUUGAGGUCUACUAAGUCAACAAAUGAGGGGGGAAAAGAUUUUGCUGCAUUUGAUUGUGAACUGGCAGAUAUUUUGCAGAAAGACUUAGAUCGAAUGCAGCUUCCUGAAAUGAUUCGCUGGCGUAUCCAAACUGCAAUGCCAGUGGUUCUCCCUUCUGUUCGGUGCUUUUUCUCUUGCCAACCACCACCUGUUCCAGAUACUGGUUUGGCUGUUUUUCAACCCAGCAUAUCGGUUUCUGGGUUGCAUGCUGGAAACUCAAACCCACCUCAGAGAAAUCAGGCUCCUCUUGCGCGAACAGUAACUAACAUACCAGGGAAAUUUAAACCAUUGCCAUCACAAGAUUAUGAUAUGGAUAUUGACCCAUGGACGCUGCUGGAAGAUGGUGCAGGAUCAGGCCCAUCUUCAAGUAGCAGUGCUUUGAUAGGCAGUGCGGACCAUGGCAAUCUUCGAGCAUCUAGCUGGCUCAAGGGGACUGUGAGGGUGAGACGAAAGGAUCUCACAUACAUUGGUGCUGUGGAUGAUGACAGCUGAGUUCAAAAGAAAACUUUGCUGUUGAUUUUUCUGGAGUGAGACCCCCUCAGCAGAUGGAUAUGAUUUGUUAAUAGUCGAAGAAACAAGGCAUACUGGUAGAUGCUAGUGGUGGAAUGGAGAGCAUCACAAUGUCAGAAAAACACAAACCUCACCAGCUGCAGUUUUUCGGUCAUGUACUAAAUAAGAUUUAGGAAUGGUUGAAGACUCGUUUGGAUGUCUGGGACCAUGUCUAUGUGGUCAGAUUACUUAUAGUUUACUUGGGAUUAUCAGGAAGAUUGAUUCUUCAGUUUCAGUUGGUAGUAUGCGUUGAAUUCACGUUCUCUUUCUAUUUUAUUUUGUGUCAUCCCAAAAGCUGAGUUCAUUCUUCCUUCUCCCGCACACUUACUGUGCAAUAAGCUUGUUUUAUAGCGCUGUAUUUUCCAGCAUUAUUGUUGGUAUUGUUGGAUGGAUGUUUUGCAUUUCGGACAAAACUGCUUUGUGACGAACGCAUAGUCUUUGCAGUGUAUUCUAUUCAUAUAUGUAAUGGUGAUUUCCUACAGAGAUCUCUGCUUGGUACUGUAGUAGUUUUGUGUAUGCUAUUUUGACAUGAUCUUUAUUGAUUCCCAAGGAAAAUUACUUU